GUGCCAGCAGCCGCGGUAAUACGGAGGGUGCGAGCGUUAAUCGGAAUUACUGGGCGUAAAGCGCAUGCAGGUGGUUUGUUAAGUCAGAUGUGAAAGCCCGGGGCGUCAACCUCGGAAUUGCAUUUGAAACUGGCAAACUAGAGUACUGUAGAGGGGGUAGAAUUUCAGGUGUAGCGGUGAAAUGCGUAGAGAAUCUGAAGGAAUACCGGUGGCGAAGGCGGCCCCCUGGACAGAUACUGACACUCAGAUCGCGAAAGCGUGGGGAGCAAACCAGGAUUAGAUACCCCUCGGUAG
rnacentral:rRNA from 1 species